GGACAAAUAGUUUUGAUAUCAACAUUUAGAUAGAGUUAUAGUUAUCACAUAGUUACCACAUAGUUGUCACAUAAUAGCAUAGAUUAAUAGGAUCAGGAGUACAUAAUACUUAAGUAGUAGGAGAGGCAGGUUAUAAGCACAUAGUGAGAGCAAGUAACAACAAUUAGGGCAGGGUGAAAAAUAGCAACCCAUGAACACAUAAGCAUACUAGAGUCUUAGAAUGACCUGGAGACAUAUCAGACUCAAAGAAAGGGAGGGAUAGAGGUGUAUUAAUGAUAUAAUUACAAGGAACUAUAUGGAAAACAAGAUACACAUUCAGCUUACAAAAGGGGAAGACAUGAUAGGGGUUAAGCUAGUUACAUGGUAGGCAGUGGAACCAAAGAAUGAAACACAUAAGGAACAAUAAGUAAGUAAACAAAAACAGGAGCAUAUUGUGUAUAGAUUCUAUAAAGCUAAAAAAAAUAUACUACUUUGAUGAUAGAGAACAACAAAGUGUUGGAGAUAGCACAACAGUAGCAGUAUACAGGACAAAGAGAGCAGCAAUAGAACAGUAAUAUGCAGGAUGAGAGCAGCAGUAGUAUGCAAAUGCACAAGAGCAGUAGAGAUUACUCAGUCUUGAGUGUUUUGUGUGAUCAGUGACCUUAAUGUCAAUCUAUAUGUGUGUAUGUUAGUGUCUUGUUCGUGUGAAUCUCGGUGUAUUUGUAAAUAGGGAAGACAUGUCUUUAUAUAGUUUUGAAUACAAGCAAUACAAU
rnacentral:lncRNA from 1 species